ensembl:ncRNA ZK353.12 ncRNA
UAGAUGAAGAGAGACGUUGUGACGUUACUGAAACAUCUUCUUGAAUAUUCCAAAAGGAAUCCAACAAGUUGAAUAUGCAUUGUUAUUGUAACUUGAGACUUGUCCAUUGGAAGAUGU